GAUGAACGCUGGCGGCGUGCCUAAUACAUGCAAGUCGAGCGAACGGACGAGAAGCUUGCUUCUCUGAUGUUAGCGGCGGACGGGUGAGUAACACGUGGAUAACCUACCUAUAAGACUGGGAUAACUUCGGGAAACCGGAGCUAAUACCGGAUAAUAUUUUGAACCGCAUGGUUCAAUAGUAAAAGACGGUUUUGCUGUCACUUAUAGAUGGAUCCGCGCUGCAUUAGCUAGUUGGUAAGGUAACGGCUUACCAAGGCAACGAUGCAUAGCCGACCUGAGAGGGUGAUCGGCCACACUGGAACUGAGACACGGUCCAGACUCCUACGGGAGGCAGCAGUAGGGAAUCUUCCGCAAUGGGCGAAAGCCUGACGGAGCAACGCCGCGUGAGUGAUGAAGGUCUUCGGAUCGUAAAACUCUGUUAUUAGGGAAGAACAUAUGUGUAAGUAACUAUGCACGUCUUGACGGUACCUAAUCAGAAAGCCACGGCUAACUACGUG
rnacentral:rRNA from 1 species